CCUCCGGGAGGCAGCAGUGGGGAAUAUUGGACAAUGGGGCCAACCCUGAUCCAGCGACGCCGCGUGUGUGAAGAAGGCCUGCGGGUUGUAAAGCACUUUUAGUGGGGAGGAAGGUCUGCGACCUAACACGUCGUGGAAUUGACUUAACCCACAGAAAAAGCACCGGCUAACUCUGUGCCAGCAGCCGCGGUAAUACAGAGGGUGCAAGCGUUAAUCGGAAUUACUGGGCGUAAAGCGUGCGUAGGCGGUUUCGUAAGUCGGAUGUGAAAGCCCCGGGCUCAACCUGGGAAUUGCAUUCGAGACUGCGAAGCUGGAGUGCGGAAGAGGGAAGUGGAAUUUCCGGUGUAGCGGUGAAAUGCGUAGAUAUCGGAAGGAACAUCAGUGGCGAAAGCGACUUCCUGGUCCAGCACUGACGCUCAGGCACGAAAGCGUGGGGAGCAAACAGGAUUAGAUACCCUGGUAGUCCACGCCAUAAACGAUGAGAACUAGAUUUUGAGAGGGUAAGCCUCCCAGUGUCGUAGCUAACGCGAUAAGUUCUCCGCCUGGGGACUACGGCCGCAAGGUUGAAACUCAAAUGAAUUGACGG
rnacentral:rRNA from 1 species